AGGGUUCACAGACAGACAACACUAGAUAAUGUAGUUUUAGUGACCUAUAGUAUAGUCAGUGGUGAAGGUCAGGGUUCACAGACAGACAACACUAGAUAAUGUAGUUUUAGUGACCUAUAGUAUCGUCGGUGGUGAAGGUCAGGGUUCACAGACAGACAACACUAGAUAAUGUAGUUUUAGCCACCUAUAGUAUAGUCAGUGG